rnacentral:rRNA from 1 species
CCCCUAGAUGUUCUGGGCCGCACGCGCGCUACACUGAACAGUUCAACAAGUCUUAACCUUGGCCGAUAGGUCUGGGUAAUCUUUGAACGCUGUUCGUGAUUGGGAUAGACCUUUGCAAUUAUGGGUCUUCAACGAGGAAUUCCUAGUAAACGCAAGUCAUCAGCUUGCAUUGAUUACGUCCCUGCCCUUUGUACACACCGCCCGUCGCACCUACCGAUUGAAUGGUCCGGUGAAAAUUUCGGAUACCGGCAUUGCUGGCGGUUCGCCGCCGGCGACGCUGGUAGAAGAUCUUUAAACCUUNUNAUUUAGNGGAAGGAGAANUCGUANCA